GACAGAGGGGGCAAGCGUUGCUCGGAAUUACUGGGCGUAAAGGGCGCGUAGGCGGGAUGGCAAGUCGGUCGUGAAAUCCUUCGGCUCAACCGAAGAACGUCGAUCGAUACUGCUGUUCUUGAGGGUUGCAGAGGAGACUGGAAUUCCUGGUGUAGCGGUGGAAUGCGCAGAUAUCAGGAGGAACACCGGUGGCGAAGGCGGGUCUCUGGGCAGUAACUGACGCUGAGGAGCGAAAGCGUGGGGAGCGAACAGG
rnacentral:rRNA from 1 species